GGCAACUUGGCCGAGCGGUCUAAGGCGCCAGACUCAAGAUAAGCGGUUCUCACCAUCACAUCUUCCCCAAAGCGGGGCGCAUUCUGGUCUCGAAAGAGGCGUGAGUUCGAAUCUCACAGUUGUCA
rnacentral:tRNA from 1 species